UAGGGAAUCUUCCGCAAUGGGCGAAAGCCUGACGGAGCAACGCCGCGUGAGUGAUGAAGGUCUUCGGAUCGUAAAACUCUGUUAUUAGGGAAGAACAAAUGUGUAAGUAACUAUGCACGUCUUGACGGUACCUAAUCAGAAAGCCACGGCUAACUACGUGCCAGCAGCCGCGGUAAUACGUAGGUGGCAAGCGUUAUCCGGAAUUAUUGGGCGUAAAGCGCGCGUAGGCGGUUUUUUAAGUCUGAUGUGAAAGCCCACGGCUCAACCGUGGAGGGUCGUUGGAAACUGGAAAACUUGAGUGCAGAAGGGGAAAGUGGAAUUCCAGGUGUAGCGGUGAAAUGCGCAGAGUUAUGGAGGAACACCAGUGGCGAAGGCGACUUUCUGGUCUGUAACUGACGCUGAUGUGCGAAAGCGUGGGGAUCAAACAGG
rnacentral:rRNA from 1 species